CCUACGGGAGGCAGCAGUGGGGGAUAUUGCACAAUGGGGGAAACCCUGAUGCAGCGACGCCGCGUGUGGGAAGACGGUCCUCUGGAUUGUAAACCACUGUCCCCAGGGACGAAGAUGACGGUACCUGGGGCGGAAGCUCCGGCUAACUACGUGCCAGCAGCCGCGGUAAUACGUAGGGAGCGCGCGUUGUCCGGAAUUACUGGGUGUAAAGGGAGCGUAGGCGGGACUGCAAGUUGGGUGUCAAAUCUACCGGCUCAACCGGUAGCCGCACUCAAAACUGCAGUUCUUGAGUGAAGUAGAGGCAGGCGGAAUGCGUGGUGUAGCGGUGAAAUGCGUAGAUAUUAGGAGGAACACCAGUGGCGAAGGCGGCCUGCUGGGCUUAUACUGACGCUGAGGCUCGAAAGUGUGGGGAGCAAACAGGAUUAGAUACCCCAGUAGUC
rnacentral:rRNA from 1 species